rnacentral:rRNA from 1 species
ACGGCGAAGUGAAGCGGCAACAGCUUCAAAUUUGAAAUCUGGCCUCCGGGCCCGAGUUGUAAUUUGCAGAGGAGGCUUUUGGCGAGGCGCCUUCCGAGUUCCCUGGAACGGGACGCCAUAGAGGGUGAGAGCCCCGUCUGGUUGGAUGCCGAGCCUCUGUAAAGCUCCUUCGACGAGUCGAGUAGUUUGGGAAUGCUGCUCUAAAUGGGAGGUAUAUGUCUUCUAAAGCUAAAUAUUGGCCAGAGACCGAUAGCGCACAAGUAGAGUGAUCGAAAGAUGAAAAGCACUUUGAAAAGAGGGUUAAACAGUACGUGAAAUUGUUGAAAGGGAAGCGCUUGUGACCAGACUUGGGCCCGGCGGAUCACCCAGCGUUCUCGCUGGUGCACUCCGGCGGGCCCAGGCCAGCAUCAGCUCGUCCCGGGGGACAAAGGCUCUGGGAAUGUGGCUCCUCCGGGAGUGUUAUAGCCCUCUGCGCAAUGCCCUGGGGCGGGCUGAGGACCGCGCAU